rnacentral:rRNA from 1 species
GGCAGGACUACCCGCUGAACUUAAGCAUAUCAUUAAGCGGAGGAAAAGAAAUCAACAGAGAUUGCCUUAGUAGGAGCGACUGAACAGGCAAAAGCCCAGAAUUAAAAUCGAAGGCUUUUGGCUUUCGAGUUGUAAUCUGCAGAUGUGAGUGUGUGAUCGAGCUUGGCAUAACUUUCAUGGAACGGAAGGUCAAAGAGGGUGAAAACCCCGUAGUCGGCCAAGCUUAAGUAGCAAGCUCACUUCCAUAGAGUCGAACUUCUUGGGAUUGAAGUUCCAAUCGGGAGAUAGACUUCUCCCAAGGCUAAAUAUAGAUGGGAAUCCGAUAGCGAACAAGUACUGUGAAGGAAAGACGAAAAGAACUUUGAAAAAAGAGUUAAAAGACUUGAAACCGUUGAGAAGGAAGGUUUAAAAUUUGGAUAAUCACACAAAAAGGGGGCUACGUAGGAAGGCCGGAGAUACGAAAGGUCGAAAGCCGCUGAAAGUAGCAGCCCACUUGAGUGAAAGGAAAAAUGAGGUGACGAUUUCGAAUAGCUGCAAAGCGAAGAAAAACGAAGCCUGAGGGAAUUUUUUGAUUUUUCCAAAACGGAUUUUAGACACCCGUCUUGUAACACGGACCAAGGAGUUUAAUUUACAUGCGAGUUUGCGAGUGAAAAACUCAUAAGCAAAAUGAAAGUGAGUACAAGGUGCCAAAGGGAAACCUGGCAGCAUCGGCCUUCCUUGAUAUUUAUUGAAGGGUAUGAGCAAGAGCAUGUAUGUUAAGACCCGAAAGAUGACGAUCUAUGCUUGAGUAGGGUGAAGCCAGGAGAAAUUCUGGUGGAGGCUCGAACAGAUACUAACGUGCAAAUUGUUCUGCGAACUUGAGUAUAGGGGCGAAAAACCAAUCGAGUCUUCUAGUAGCUGGUUCCUUCUGAAGUUUCUCUCAGGAUAGCAAGAACAAUAACGCAGUUUUAUUAGGUAAAGCGAAUGAUUAGAGGCCUCUGAGACUCAUGUUUUGGACCUAUUCUCAAACUUUAAAUUGGUAAGAGCCUUUGGUUUUCUUAAUUGAACCAGGGGGUAGAAUGCGUGUUCUUAGUGGGCCAUUUUUGGUAAGCAGAACUGGCGAUGAGGGAUGCUCCUAAAGUUGAGUUAAGGCGCCUAAAUUGCAAUCAUCAGACACCAUAAAAGGCGUUGAUUCGUAAAGACAAUCGGAAUGUGACCCUGAGAGUAGGUAUCAUCUAAGGACCGUUUUCCACCCACCGAUUUAACGAAUCAGCCCUAAAAAUGGAUGGCGCUAUAUUGCAAUGCCGACACUCGACCUUCUCGGCAAAAAGAAGUCGAGAAGAGUAAGAAGGCGUAGAAGUAGUGUUGAAGCCAAGACGUGAGUCUAGGUUGAACUGCUUCUAGUGCAGAUCUUGGUGGUAGUAGUAAUUAUUCAAAUGAGAACUUUGAAGACUGAAGCUAGAGACGGGUUCCGUGAGAACAGCAAUUGGUCACGGGUUACUCGAUCCUAAGGCAAGGCGGAAAUGCCACGAAGCAGUGUUUCACUGCGGUGCCGAAAGGGAAUGAGGUUAAUAUUCCUCAAGUUUGCAAUGGAUCCUGUGUGGCAACACAAACAAUCUCGGAGACAUCGGCGCGUACCCCUGGAAGAGUUUUCUUUUCUUCUUAACUUCUAAAAGCCAUGAAAUUGGAUUAUCCAGAGAUCUGGCCCUAAGGAAGGAAGAGCAGUCUAUUUUUGGACUGGUGGUGCGUUCGCGACGAUCAAUGAAAAUCCGAGGGCGAUACUUAAAUUCAUUCAAAAUCGUACCAUAACCGCAUCAGGUCUCUAAGGUUAGCAGCCUCUGGUCAACUAGAAGAAAGUCAUUUAGGGAAUUCGGCAAAAUGGAUCCGUAACUUCGGGAUAAGGAUUGGCUCUGAGGACUGGGUAUACAUUCUUGAAUCGACUUAUUACUUGUUGAAGACUAAGGGCUUUGGUUCUAAGUUUGAUACUUUGAUUCGGAGGUACUUGCUUUGUGUACAAUCAUCAGUUAACUCAGAACUGAAGCGGUCAAGGGGAAUCUAACUGUUUAAUAAAAACAAAGCAUUGUGAUGUCCUGAAAAGGUUUUGACACAAUGUGAUUUCUGCCCAGUGCUUUGAACGUUAACGUGAAGCAAUUCAACUAAGCGCAGGUAAACGGCAGGUGUAACUAUAACACUUUUAAGGUAGCCAAAUGCCUCGUCUUCUAAUUAGAGACGCGCAUGAAUGGAUCAAUGAGAUUCCUACUGUCCCAAAUGACCAUCUAACGAACCCACAGCCAAGGGAACGGGCUUGGCAAAAUCAGCGGGGAAAGAAGACCCUGUUGAGCUUUGAAGAAGAGUGACUUUGUGAAAUGGCAAUUGGGGUAUAGUGUAGGUGGGAGAUUCGUCAACAAUGUAACACCACUACUCAUUUCGUCAUUUUACUAAUUCUGUGACGCAGAAAUCCACUAGGAAUUCUUGCAAUAAGGUCCGUAAGGACUGAUCUGGGCGGAAGACAGAGUCAUCCGAUUUUCUUGUCUGGGGCGGAACAUCUGUUAAACUCUAACGCAGGUGUCCUAAGGUGAGCUCAAAGAGAACAGAAAUCUCUUGUAGACCAAAAGGGGAAAAGCUCACUUGAUUUUGAUUUUCAGUACAAAUACAAACUGUGAAAGCAUGGCCUAUAGAUCCUUAAAUUUUACAAGUCUUAAAUUUGAGGUGUCAGAAAAGUUACCACAGGGAUAACUGACUUGUGGCGACCCGAGCGCACAGAGCGACGGCGCUUUUUGAUCCUUCGAUGUCGGCUCUUCUUAUCAUUGUGUUGCAGAAGGCACAACGUGUCGGAUUGUUCACCCGCUAAUAAGGAACGUGAGCUGGGUUUAGACCGUCGAGAGACAGGUUAGUUUUACCCUACUGAUGAACAGAUAUCGCGACAGUAAGC